rnacentral:rRNA from 1 species
AGAGCUAACGCUGGCGGCAUGCUUAACACAUGCAAGUCGCACGGGCAGGGGCAACUCUGUCAGUGGCGGACGGGUGAGUAACGCGUAGGUAUCUAUCCUUGGGUGGGGGACAACUGUGGGAAACUACAGCUAAUACCGCAUGAUGACCGAGGUCUAAAGGCGUCCGGGGUAACCUGGUGCGUCGCCUGAGGAGGAGCCUGCGUACGAUUAGCUAGUUGGUGGGGUAAAGGCCUACCAAGGCGACGAUCGUUAGCUGGUCUGAGAGGAUGAUCAGCCACAUUGGGACUGAGACACGGCCCAAACUCCUACGGGAGGCAGCAGUGGGGAAUAUUGGACAAUGGGCGCAAGCCUGAUCCAGCAAUGCCGCGUGUGUGAAGAAGGUCUUCGGAUUGUAAAGCACUUUCGACGGGGACGAUGAUGACGGUACCCGUAGAAGAAGCCCGGCUAACUUCGCGCCAGCAGCCGC